rnacentral:lncRNA from 1 species
GGGGGCCGGGAGCGCAAAUGGCGUUGAGAUGGUUCAGGGCCCUGUUCAAACUCCAGCACUGACCAUUCACCGGCGGAAGCGGCGGCGCAGGAGGCGGCGGCGGCCCAGCGGGGGCACACAGCAGGCUCUGUUACCAGCUCCAGCAGUGGCGGCCAGCGAGAGCUAGGCCUGGGCCCGGCCGGCGGCGCUCGAGGCGGGGAGGGAAGUUGCGGGGCCGCCGCUCCUGCCCCCCCAACCGGGCUUCCUAUUUACCGAAAGCAGAGUCCCUCGCCUCUCUCGGCUCUCACCUGCCGGCCCUGCUCUCCCGCGCGAGGGUUCCGCGCCCGCCCGCGGGCCGUAGGGAGCGGGAGAGGCGGAGGCGGCCCGUGGCCAAAGCACCCGCCAGGCUCCGAGGAGAAUAUGAAACUGGUGUCAAAAUGACAUCCAGAUUUGGGAAAACAUACAGUAGGAAAGGUGGAAAUGGCAGUUCAAAAUUCGAUGAAGUCUUUUCCAACAAACGGACUACCCUUAGCACAAAAUGGGGAGAGACCACAUUUAUGGCUAAAUUAGGGCAGAAGAGGCCCAAUUUCAAACCAGAUAUCCAAGAAAUUCCGAAGAAACCUAAAGUGGAAGAAGAAAGUACUGGAGAUCCUUUUGGAUUUGAUAGUGAUGAUGAGUCUCUACCAGUUUCUUCAAAGAAUUUAGCCCAGGUUAAGUGUUCCUCUUAUUCAGAAUCUAGUGAAGCUGCUCAGUUGGAAGAGGUCACUUCAGUACUUGAAGCUAAUAGCAAAAUUAGUCAUGUGGUCGUUGAAGACACUGUCGUUUCUGAUAAAUGCUUCCCUUUGGAGGACACUUUACUUGGG